UGAGGAAUAUUGGUCAAUGGGCGAGAGCCUGAACCAGCCACGUCGCGUGAAGGAAGACUGACCUUACGGUUUGUAAACUUCUUUUGUAGAGGGGUAAUGGCAGAUACGUGUAUUUGCGUGAAAGUACUCUACGAAUAAGCAUCGGCUAAUUCCGUGCCAGCAGCCGCGGUAAUACGGAAGGUCCAGGCGUUAUCCGGAUUUAUUGGGUUUAAAGGGAGCGUAGGCUGGAGAUUAAGUGUGUUGUGAAAUGUAGACGCUCAACGUCUGAAUUGCAGCGCAUACUGGUUUCCUUGAGUACGCACAACGUUGGCGGAAUUCGUCGUGUAGCGGUGAAAUGCUUAGAUAUGACGAAGAACUCCGAUUGCGAAGGCAGCUGACGGGAGCGCAACUGACGCUUAAGCUCGAAGGUGCGGGUAUCAAACAGG
rnacentral:rRNA from 1 species